AAAUGGCAAAUCACAUCUUAAACAAAUCCUGAAGACUUUGUUUUUAUACACAUUAAUUUCUUUGCAUUUAUGUGUUGUAAAUACAGAACUGAAGAAGGAUUUUUUAGAACUGGGCAAUACAGGGAAAGGGUAGGUGAUUGUGAAGUAUUGUGUGAAAGGAAAACCAGUCCUGACUUGCCUAUAAAAUUUGGGUUAAGACAGGUACUACCAUGGGAACUCUUUGCCCAGCAGGAAAAGCAAAUUGGAUGUCAGCAGGUAGGAAGAAAAUUUGGUAUAAAGCAGAGAGCACAGCUUUGCCAUUGUAUGGUCCAAUGGUCCAUCCAUAGCCAAGGCAUGGUCCAGUGCACUGAUAAAUCCUGAAUGCUGGGUGUUGGUUUCACCCCUCAUCUCACAGAGGGGACUCAAACAAGAAGUAGUGGAGCAAGAAAGGGUUCAGAGCAGAACAAAAUCAGGAUCAGAGGCCUGGGAUGGAUUUUGUAUGGCUAGGACUCUUUACUCUAAAAACAUGAUUUAAAUGGAUUUACACUAAAGGUCUCCAGGGUAAGGAGUGGAGUGAGAUUGAUUAUUCCCUGCCUUUUCCAAUAGAGAAAGUAAGGGGCAGCAGAUGAUGGUGGGUGAGGCUGAAAGCAAAAGGAAUCCUCCAGCCUGGGGUAUCCCUACAAAGGACACUGUGGAUGCAGAGCCUGGACAAAUGCUUGAAGAGAGGUUCAUUGUGGGUUACUCAAUAGGCAGCAACAGGCUCAGGAAAUCUAUUCAGUUAAAAAUAGACUGACUAUUAAGGGAGAGUGUCAUAUAUGAUUUUCUUGUCAUCAUUACUUAGCCAUCUGCUCACAGCCAGUGUUGGAGACAGGAUGGUUGUCUGGAUGAACCUUUGCUUUGAACCAAACCAGUAAUUUUUAUAUUCUUAAAUGUGAGAUCUCAUUACAAUCUGUCAUUUUAAGGAAGCCAUUUGUUACAAAGCUCCACAUCCAUUUCCUCUGAAACACUAUUAAUUUUCCAAUUAUCUCAUUCUUUAAUGCUGGACACUUUAAUCUUCCUUAGCUGUUCACCCUGCACAAGGACAUUUAUCCCAAUAACAGAUCCUGUGGUUUUCCACAGAAGAACAUUUAUCCCUCUUGGAAAAGGGAUAAUGGCCAGGAAACAUGUUUGACCCUGGGCAACUAGCUCAGUUUGUGUUCCAGCUUUAGGAAAGCAAGGAGUGACCCAGGUUUGGGGACCAGGAGAAUUUGCACAGAGGCAGCUUCCCUCCCCUGGCAUCUCCUUGGGAUGUCACCCAUGUUUUCAAUUGUAUCAGAAUUAUCCUGGCUAUGGCAGUGAUGGGUGUCAGAUUAAAAUGGAAGGACCUGAGGAAAGGCAUCUAUUUUAGUAAUGGCUGUUCCACCACUGCUCUGACUCAUUUCCUCCUGCAUCCAGAUGACUUGAGACAUAUAUUUUAAUAACAGGAGUGUCAUUUGCAGCUCAUUGCUUAGGGCAGGAAUACACAAUCCCAGCCCUCAGGAAUAUUCUGUGUCAAUUUUUUUUAAGUGACUGAUAGGGAACAUCCUAACUUGAAUAUUGUAUUCAGUGUUGAUGUUGAGGCAUAAUGUUUGGAAGCCCCAUAGCUGGGCAUCAGUGCAGCCCAGCAUGUCUCCCUAAGACAUCAGUCAGUGAGUUUACCUCGUGCUUGUGCUGGAUGGUUGCACUUGGACUUUGUUGAAGAGUUCUUCCUGUGACCCUGCCUGUAAGCCAGGAGCCCCCAGAGCUCAGCAUCUCAUCCCUGCUGUGCCUGAAGAGCUGUCAGAUAUUGAUAGGAUGGGGGACAUGGCCUCCGGUUGAGCCAAGAGAGGUUCAGUUGGAAAUUAGGAAAAAAUUUCAUCACUGAAGGAGUGGCUAAGAAUUGGAAGAGGCUGCCCAGGGCAGUGGUGGAGUCAGCAUCAAUGGGAGUGCUCCAAAAAGAAGCAGACAUUGCACUUUGGCACUGAGGUACUGUGUCAGAGUUUGGAUUUGAUGAUCUUGGAGGUCAUUGCCAACCUAAAUGAUCCUCUGGUUCCAUGCUAUGGUGGCACUGAGCUGUGGUGCUGCCAUGUGGAAGAGCAGUGUGCACCCAGCUCCUUGAGAAUGCAGUGCCUGUUCCCAGAGGCAGGGAUGGUUCUGUGCCCAGCAGGGAUGGUUCUGUGCCCAGCAGGGAUGGUUCUGUGCCCAGCAGGGACAGUUCUGUGCCCAGCAGGGAUGGUUCUGUGCCCAGCAGGAUGGUUCUGUGCCCAGCAGGAUGGUUCUGUGCCCAGCCAGGAUGGUUCUGUGCUGCAUUUCACGCUGCCUGCACAGCCCCAGCCCUGGCUCUCUGGCAGGAUGUGUGGUGGGUGAGAUCCCACGCACAGCUCUGGGGACAGAGCUGUCUCUUAAGCCACAGCCCUCCUCCCUGCCGAGCCCUGUGGGGAGGGAGGGUGUUUGCACACCAGAUUUGGGUGCCUGGCCUCCUGGCUGGAUGCUGUAACCACGAGAGAGAAGAGGAGCAGAAGCCGCAGCGUGGCUUGCAGCUGGGGCAGGGUAUGGCUGUUCCUUGCUGCAGGAAGGAUGGUGACCAUGGGAGACAGGAGAAGGCUGAUCCAUCAUUGGAAGGAAUCAAGGAAUAAAUUAGGGACCCUCAUGUGCCAGGACAUGGUGGCAGAAGUGACACUGUGGUGGACUCUGCUGGCACCUACCUUUAUCCCUCUCUCUCCAUGGAUCCAGGGAUCAUGCUAUUAGCAGAGAUGCACAGAAACACUUUCCCAUUAAAAUUCAAGUUGGAAACAACAUGCCACGAUAGAACAGGGCAUCCCUGACCCUUGGCUGGCAUCAUCAUUGUGCUCCCAGCAAAGAACUUGCAGAUAUCAGGGAAUUGGAUAAUUUUCUCAGCAUCUUUUCAUUAAUGUUUCUAUUUUGUGCCUAUUUAUGCUCUGUGAAAAAAAAAGUCUGUGAAAUGGAAAUCUAUUUUGAUCCAUCAGCUCUUACAAUUUUGAGACCCGCUGCCAUAACCUCUCCCAGUUUUACUGUCUAAAACACUCUAUUGAUGAUUAUAGAAAUUACUGUAA